GCAAGUCGAGGGGUAAUUCUGCUUUCGGGCAGAAACGACCGGCGCACGGGUGCGUAACGCGUAUGCAACCUACCCACAACUGGGGGAUAGCCCGGAGAAAUCCGGAUUAAUACCCCAUAAUGCAUUGAUACCGCAUGGUAUUAAUUGCUAAAGAUUUAUCGGUUGUGGAUGGGCAUGCGUCUGAUUAGUUAGUUGGUGAGGUAACGGCUCACCAAGGCAACGAUGUCUAGGGGAUCUGAGAGGACUACC
rnacentral:rRNA from 1 species